UUAUCCUUUCCCAGGACCAUCGCACGGACGGCUUCCACGCUCGUCCGGCUCGCGCGGACGGUUUCCGUGUGGCUCGUCCGGCGCAGAGGAACCGCCGCGGCUUUUCCUGCCGCCUGCCGCCGCUGCCUGCCCCUUGGGGGUGCUGCCGCCGCUCUCUAGCGCCCCGCCGCCACCUUCGCCGUCGCCAGCGUGGGGCGCCGGAGGGCGCCGCGCCGAGCGCCGCCACAGGCGCCACCGCGGUCGGCGUGCGCCGCCGACGCUCCGGUGCCCCGCCGCGCGGCGCCCUGUGGGUGCGCCACCGCCGCACAGCCCCUGCGGCCACCGCGAAACGCCACCUCGGGCCGCCCCCUGCACCGGCCAAGGGCCGGCUGCCGAUGGCGAGGGUGCGUGCGCCGGCAAAGCCGUCGCUGAUGCGGCCAUGGAGGAUUCGCCGUUGGUGUGGGCGCCUCCGCCGAUGGUAGCCAAGAUGGUGGGAUUCCUCGUCGACGGCGAGGAGCAGAUGGCGAUGCAUCCAUUUCCGGCGACCACCAAGCGUAAGGAUGAAAAAAUCCAUCUUCCAGUGUAAAGAAAUGUAAGUCCGUUGGAUUCAUGCUUAUUUGCCGAAGUUUUAGGCCUUGUAGCCAUGUUCGAUUUUGCUCCAACCAUGGUGGCCAUGGCGUCCCAUAGUCUCGAGACCUCAUGGCCUCCUCUCCUCCUUUUCUUCUUAUCCAACGGCAAGAACAACGACAAGAACAAUACAUUAAGAUGAACCUGUCAUUUGCCGUGAUGCAGAAAUUCCUCCAUCUUGCCGUCGUCUCCACAAACGGAUGUGAGGCUGACAUGCCUCGUCUUGUUUGUUUGCGAGAGGUCUCGUCGAGAUCCGCAGGAAGCGAACGCGAGUUCUGUGCGUGACCAGUAGAGAGCAAACCGCAGGAAGCGAACUCGGCGAGUUCUGUGCGUGCGCAGUAGAGAGCAAAUGCGUGAUAACGUGUCGUAUAGUGAAUGGAUGUGUAUUUCCAAUGAUUGAUUGUUACUUAUAUAUAAGAUCAAAAGACAUGUUCUUUUGUGA